GACAGAGGGUGCAAACGUUGCUCGGAAUCACUGGGCGUAAAGGGCGUGUAGGCGGGACGGUAAGUCGGGCGUGAAAUCCCUAGGCUCAACCUAGGAACUGCACUCGAAACUACCAUUCUUGAGUGUCGGAGAGGAAAGCGGAAUUCCUGGUGUAGAGGUGAAAUUCGUAGAUAUCAGGAGGAACACCAGUGGCGAAGGCGGCUUUCUGGACGAUAACUGACGCUGAGACGCGAAAGCGUGGGAGGCAAAC
rnacentral:rRNA from 1 species